rnacentral:piRNA from 1 species
UAAAUUAGGUCUAGUCAUUCAAAGGA